UCCGGUAACUCUUUUGCAUUUUGAGAGCCAGAGCCGGAUCAUUUUUAAAUCGAAAUCAAACUGAAUAUUUCAUGUUGGUCGUUUCCGUUAUAGAUACCGGGAAUAUUUGACGUCAUUCUAACGAGACUAUAAUAUCUGACAUCUGCGGUUUUAGCAGCUAUUUUAGAUGGUAAAUUGAAAAUUUCUCAAGACGAAUUGUCGACAGAGAAAAUGUUACCGAAAGCGGGCGAGACCGUAUUAACUGGAAAAACAGCAACGACGUUAUGUGGAUGGAUCCAGACGAUCCGACGGAUACAUGACAACGAAAACUAGGAAAUUUACACGGCAGUAAUAUUCAAACUUGUCCUAUCUACCCCCGUGGCAACUGUUCUUCGCGAAACAUCGUUUUACCCAUGUCAAAACGUGACUAUGAAACAAGAUAUCGA